GACGAACGCUGGCGGCGUGCUUAACACAUGCAAGUCGAACGGAAAGGCCCUGCUUUUGUGGGGUGCUCGAGUGGCGAACGGGUGAGUAACACGUGAGUAACCUGCCCUUGACUUUGGGAUAACUUCAGGAAACUGGGGCUAAUACCGGAUAGGAGCUCCUGCUGCAUGGUGGGGGUUGGAAAGUUUCGGCGGUUGGGGAUGGACUCGCGGCUUAUCAGCUUGUGGGUGGGGUAGUGGCUUACCAAGGCUUUGACGGGUAGCCGGCCUGAGAGGGUGGCCGGCCACAUUGGGACUGAGAUACGGCCCAGACUCCUACGGGAGGCAGCAGGGGGGAAUAGUGCAUAAUGGGCGGAAGCCUGAUGCAGCGACGCCGCGUGCGGGAUGGCGGCCUUCGGGUUGUAAUCCGCUUUCGCCUGUGACGAAGCGUGAGUGACGGUAAUGGGUAAAGAAGCACCGGCUAACUACGUG
rnacentral:rRNA from 1 species